UACGUAGGGUGCGAGCGUUAAUCGGAAUUACUGGGCGUAAAGCGUGCGCAGGCGGUUUUGUAAGCCAGAUGUGAAAGCCCCGGGCUCAACCUGGGAAUGGCAUUUGGGACUGCAAGGCUUGAGUGCGGCAGAGGAGACUGGAAUUCCUGGUGUAGCAGUGAAAUGCGUAGAUAUUGGGAAGAACACCGGUGGCGAAGGCGGCGACCUGGUCCGUGACUGACGCUGAGGCGCGAAAGCGUGGGGAGCAAACAGG
rnacentral:rRNA from 1 species